rnacentral:rRNA from 1 species
GCUUGUCUCAAAGAUUAAGCCAUGCAUGUCUAAGUGUAAAUAAGUCUAUACUGUGAAACUGCGAAUGGCUCAUUAAAUCAGUUAUCGUUUAUUUGAUGAUCUCUUACUACUUGGAUAACCGUAGUAAUUCUAGAGCUAAUACAUGCUAAAAACCCCGACUUCAGGAAGGGGUGUAUUUAUUAGAUAAAAAACCAACGCCCUUCGGGGCUCCUUGGUGAAUCAUAAUAACUUAACGAAUCGCAUGGCCUUGCGCCGGCGAUGGUUCAUUCAAAUUUCUGCCCUAUCAACUUUCGAUGGUAGGAUAGUGGCCUACCAUGGUGGCAACGGGUAACGGGGAAUUAGGGUUCGAUUCCGGAGAGGGAGCCUGAGAAACGGCUACCACAUCCAAGGAAGGCAGCAGG